CUGCCAGCCGCCGCGGUAAUACGGAGGGUGCGAGCGUUAAUCGGAAUUACUGGGCGUAAAGGGCGCGUAGGCGGUCGCGCAAGUCGGGUGUGAAAGCCCCGGGCUCAACCUGGGAAUUGCAUUCGAUACUGCGUAACUAGAGUCUGGUAGAGGGAAGCGGAAUUCCGCAUGUAGCGGUGGAAUGCGUAGAUAUGCGGAGGAACACCAGUGGCGAAGGCGGCUUCCUGGACCAAGACUGACGCUGAGGCGCGAAAGCGUAGGGAGCAAACAGGAUUAGAUACCUUGGUAGUCCACGCCCUAAACGAUGAGGACUAGACGUUGGGGGGAUAAAACCCUUUAGUGUCGCAGCUAACGCGUGAAGUCCUCCGCCUGGGGAGUACGGCCGCAAGGUUGAAACUCAAAGGAAUUGACGG
rnacentral:rRNA from 1 species